rnacentral:misc_RNA from 1 species
AACGCACGAGACCUGCGGACCUGCGGAGGGAUCAUUACCGAGUUUACAACUCCCAAACCCCAUGUGAACAUACCUGUUUCGUUCCCUCGGCGGUGUCCGGCAACGGCCCGCCAGAGGACCCAACAAACUCUUUUGAAUUUUUCAGUAUCUUCUGAGUGAAAAAAACAAUAAAUCAAAACUUUCAACAAUGGAUCUCU